GCCAGGCGUGGUGGCGCACGCCUGUAAUCCCAGCUACUUGGGAGGCUGAGGCAGAAGAAUUGCUUGAAUCCAGGAGGCAGAGGUUGCAGUGAGCUGAGGUUGUGCCACUGCACUCCAGCCUGGGUGACAGAGCAAGACCCCGUCUCAA
rnacentral:sRNA from 1 species